UGAGGUGUAAAAAAAUUCUUACUAAAUUGGAGUCUGGGGGAGCAGAGGAAAAAAUCAUCAUUCCCAAAAGUUGUAUUUUGGAUGACGAGGAUAUUUAGACUAGUUGAUGACACUUAAAAGCCACCAAUGUUAUCCAUAAACAACACAUGCAAGAUAUUCAAUUUGUUGUUCUCAAUCUUCAACGGGCCCCCAAUAUCGUAGGUGCAUGUGGUGUACAGUACAAGCACCUCAAGAGAAGGGCAAGAUGAGAGUAGUGUAUAAAAGACUUCAACCUUGGUAGCGUUGAUUAAAUAAAGUUUGAGGGUCCUAAGAUUAGAGCAGUUUCUAAAGGGAUGUGAGCUUCUAAAAAUGUAUAACCUUAGCGAGAGUGACAUGAGGCUUGGAUGAGAGAAUGAGUCUGAUGGAAACUCGAAGCUUUUCCAGUUCGAUCCCAACAAUCAAAAUGGCGGAUGAGUGUGAGAACUUUUGAGUGAUUGAAUCCAAGUAUUGAGAAUUCCAUUUAGACCACGGGAUGAGGAAUAAUUGAUCACACAGCUCUCUAUAUGUCCCUGAUGAUUGUAUAUAACCUUUGAAAAACCACCAAAGAGUAAGUAAGAGAAUAAGAGAAUGCCAAAGAAAAAGAAAAACUAACUGACAAAGGGAACCUACCUUAGUAAUCAAUAUGUCAUCUGGAUUGGACCCAUCAAGCAGUUUUGUGGAAUUAGUAGUCUUUGGCUUGUCAAAUACAAGAUGAGACACUUGUUUCCACACAUGCUCCCAUUGUUUCGACACAAUACUGGACGGCUUCUUAAGUUGUUAUGAGAGUUACAAGUAAUAAUGUUUGCAGUUUCAAUAUCAUUAUGCUUAGCCCAUAUUAUUUUUCCAAUCAAAUAUCUAAGAAAAAACCAUCUCCUAUCAGCGGAUCCAAUUAAAUAUUUUACCUGAUUAGAUGAUGAUGAUGAUCUAUCCAUAUAUGGUUGACAAAAAUUUUCUUUAAAAUUUGCUGAUCAUGAGCAAGCCGGUGGAUAAAGAGAUUAUUUUCAGUAACCGGACCAGACCAGUCCUCGCUUUUUAACCGGUUCCAGGCUGUAGUAAAAAUUGGAUUUGAAUUAAAUUGGCUAACCCGAUUAAAACCUUGUCAAAUCGUUAAAACCAAUGACUGGGAUCGAUAUAAAAGCACCACUUUUUCAAAUUCAAAUUAAAAAACUAAAAACUGCAUUUUUAAAAAAUAAUGUCAUGAAAUAUGUUUUAUAUAGUAACUAUCUAAAUAUAUCAGUUUUCAUUAUAUUUUAUAUUAUUUUGAAGUUUUCAUUUUAUUUUCAUAUUAUUUUGAAAUUUUUGAAAUACUUUUUUCUUCAAUUGAUCUUGAUUUUGUUUGGUAAUUUGAUUCACUCCAUUUUUUUCUUUUCCAAAUGUUUCUAGAACUCAAUAGCAACUGCAAUGGUGAUGAUCCUAAAAGAAAGAUGUGAACACUUGAUCUCAACGAGUUCAUUGCUUCAUGUCUGGCUUGCAGAUGAAACUUUGGAGAUUACCAUUGAAAGAGAAACAGAAACACAUCAACUUUGGUCAAAUCUUAUUGCUCCAACUUUCUUCCUAGCUGAGCCAAGAGAUGAUUGGUGUGAAAUAUGUAAACACAAGCCAUAACAUAGUACAUAUAUAGUAUAUAUUAUGAAAAUGCAUAACAUAUAUACUAAUAAAAGUUAUGUAACAAUACUAAUGUUUUAUGAAUAUUAUUUAAUAAAAGUUAUCUAAAAAUAAUUAUGUUUACAUAUGAACUUUAAUAGAAUUAUAUAACAAUCUAUACAAUACUAAAAGGCCAAUAUACUCAUCGUUUAGACCCUCCACGUUGGAUCAGAUAAUCAUCCAAUAGAAACGCUGCUUUCCGCCACGUCACACAUAUAUGGGCUUGCACGAUUUUUUUGUUUUCUGUAGGUUAUGGACUCUUCUUUCUGGGCCGCAGUGCAAACCAAAAGAAAGCCCAUCUCGCCUACCUCUUCUUCCUGAUUCGCCUUUCUAAGGUUCAUCGUCACUUUGACCCAAAAAAAAAGUGUUCAUCGUCACUAAUCUUCGCGUCAGAGUUUGUUCAUGUCGUUCCCGUUUCGAUUCUUCACCUCCCAACGGUUACAAGUCUCAUUGAUUCAACAUAAUUAACCAAAACUUAGCUCUUCCUGGCCACUACAACCAAGAUCUCGCUUUCAAAGACUUUUAUCUAGCUUCAAGGCGGUGACUCUCACCUAUAAAAACGUAUGGCUUGGCUUCAUCUUUGAGCAUCAUCCUCACAGAUCCUAAAAUUGAGAGAAAUAUUAUAUUCUGUAUAAUGGCUGCCUCAUCUGUCUUGCUCUCUGAUUAGGAGGCUGGAAGUUGUUCUUCUUACACGGUGGAGGUUCGGCUGCUCAGAUUCUGGAAAGCAAGAAUGUGAUCAUGUUUGAUUUUUUCGUGGUUGAAUCUAAACGUGAUCGUGUUUGACUUAGUAAUUCACUAUGAGACUUACCAGAAAUCUCUUGCGGAGCACCAAAACCCAGAUACGUUGAAGAGGCUGAAUGCGGCUGAUAGAGCCAAGAAGAUUUGCUGCAUCAAUAGUAUUUUGAUCCCACUAUUGGUGAGGCAAAGCGUCAAAAAGGUAAUAAGUUAUUCAAGGAGCAGGAGUAUCAUGAUGCUGUGAGACAUCACACUGAAGCUAUACAAAGAAAUCCAAAAGAACCAACAGUAAGUCCAAUUCUAAUCAUCUUAUAUGUACUUAACUGUUGUGUAUAAAGGCUUCACUGUUACGUCUUCAUUUCGGUUUAGAGCGAACCAGUGAGCUAAGAUUUUUUUUUUUUCUUUUCUUCCAGACUAGGCCUAGGGGAAUGCAAGACCAGGGAAUCAAGAACAUUCUCACAGAUCUGUAAUGAGACAGGAGAAUUCACCAGCAGCACAACAUGCACACCCGAUGAUCAUGAUCAAAUCCAAAAGCAUAUAAAGCUAAACCCAGAUUUUUUACUUUUUGUAGCUCUCAAACCAAAAUCAAGUUCCACCCAUUGUUUCAGGAUAAUCUGAUGUAACAUUUUCUUAUAUCAAAUGUGUCUUUAUAAGACAGAGACUUGAAUUGCUUACA